GUCGGGGUGGAGGCACAAGGCCAGCUGAGCUACGAGGGAAACAAGGAAAGAGAGAACGACCCACGACACCAGGCGCUGCAGGUCUUCGCACUCUCAGCAGUUCUGACUCUCGCUGCCUGAAACCGGUACAGAAAGAGGAUGUAACAACGUUGAACUUUUUAUGUGAUUUUUUUUGCCUUUGACACAGUUGUUAGAGGUUUUUUUUUUUUUUUUUUUUUUUUUUUUUUUUUUUUUUUUUUUAAAGCAACAGCGCCCUACGAGGACACCAGGUUUCUAAAUGAUUCAUCUUCUCACAGACCUUGAUAUUCAAUCCAGGUGUAGG
rnacentral:lncRNA from 1 species